rnacentral:rRNA from 1 species
UACAGAGGUCUCAAGCGUUGUUCGGAUUCAUUGGGCGUAAAGGGAGCGUAGGUGGCGGGGUUAGUCAGGUGUGAAAUCUCGGGGCUCAACCCCGAAACUGCACUUGAUACUGCCUUGCUAGAGUACUGGAGAGGAGAUUGGAAUUUACGGUGUAGCAGUGAAAUGCGUAGAUAUCGUAAGGAAGACCAGUGGCGAAGGCGAAUCUCUGGACAGUUACUGACACUGAGGCUCGAAGGCCAGGGGAGCAAACGGG